GACAGCCGAAACGGAUGAUCUCACUGUUGUGUCUCUGAAGUGUAGGCACAUCACUGUAGACAGACUGGUUCUGUACCGAGCAGUUGUGGCGAUCGAAACCACAUCUAUUACUUCAACAAUGAUGCCUACAACUUCAGAGAGUACAACAGCAGAAACCACGACUACAGCUUCAUCAACCAUUCCUACAACAACAACCAAUCCAACAACAUCAACAGCUGCAGCUUCAGUAUCCACAACUCUCACUCCCACAACAGUGCCUACAUCUAUAGAAACAACUGCACCUGUAACAACAUCAGUAACUACAGCAUCAUCAAGUACUGAAAUUCCCACAACCAAAGUUGUGAGUUCAGAAUCCACAUCUUUUACUUCAACAGUGGUGCCUACAACUUCAGAGAGUACAACAGCAGAAACCACGACUACAGCUUCAUCAACCACACCUACAACAACGAACAAUCCAACAACAUCUGUAACUUCUGAAUCUACAACUCCUAUUUCAACAGUUAUGGCUAUAUCUUCAGAAACAACUACAACUCUAACAUCAGUAACUGCAGCAUCCUCAACUACUGAAAUUCCCACAACCACAGUUGUGAGUUCAGAAACCACAUCUAUUACUUCAACAGUGGUGCCUACAACUUCAGAGAGUUCAACAUUAGAAACCACGACUACAGCUUCAUCAACCACACCUACAACAACAAACAACCCAACAACAUCAACAUCUGUAACUUCUAAAUCUACAACUCUUACUUCAACAGUUAUACCUACAGCCUCCUCAACUACUGAAAUUCCCACAACCACAGUUGUGAGUACACAAUCCACAUCUACAACUUCAAAAGUGAUGCCUACAACUUCAGAGAGUACAACUGUAGAAACCACCACUGUACAAACCACAACUACAGCUUCAUCAACCACUCCUACAACAACAAAUGCUCCAACAACAUCAAAAGCUGUAACUUCAGAACCCACAACUCUCAUUUCAACGACAUUGCCUACAUCUAAAGAAACAACUACACCUGUAACAACAUCAGUAACUACAGCAUCCUCAAGUACUGAAAUUCCCACAACCACAGUUGUGAGUUCAGAAACCACAUCCAUUACUUCAACAGUGGUGCCUACGACUUCAGAGAGUACAACAGGAGAAACCAUGACUACAGCUUCAUCAACCACACCUACAAAAACGAACAAUCCAACAACAUCAACAUUUGUAACUUCUGAAUCUACAACUCCUACUUCAACAGUUAUAGCUACAUCUUCAGAAACAACUACACCUCUAACAAAAUCAGUAACUACAGCAUCCUCAACUACUGAAAUUCCCACAACCACAGUUGUGAGUACAGAAUCCACAUCUACUACUUCAACAGUGGUGCCUACAACUUCAGAGAGUACAACAGUAGAAACCACGACUACAGCUUCAUCAACCACUCCUACAACAACAAACAAUCCAACAACAUCAACAUCUGUAACUUCUGAAUCUACAACUCUUACUUCAACAGUUAUAACUACAGCAUCCUCAACUACUGAAAUUCCCACAACCACAGUUGUGAGUACAGAAUCCACAUCUACUACUUCAGCAGUGGUGCCUACAACUUCAGAGAGUACAACAGUAGAAACCACGACUACAGCUUCAUCAACCACUCCUUCAACAACAAACAAUCCAACAACAACAACAGCUGUAGCUUCAGAAUCUACAACUCUUACUUCAACAGUUAUAACUACAGCAUCCUCAACUACUGACAUUCCCACAACCACAGUUGUGAGUACAGAAUCCACAUCUACUACUUCAACAGUGGUGCCUACAACUUCAGAGAGUACAACAGUAGAAACCACGACUACAGCUUCAUCAACCACUCCUUCAACAACAAACACUCCAACAACAACAACAGCUGUAGCUUCAGAAUCCACAACUCUCAGUUCAACAGCAUUGCCUACAUCUAUAGAAACAACUGCACCUGUAACAACAUCAGUAACUACAGCAUCCUCAACUAUUGAAAUUCCCACAACCACAGUUUUGAGUUCAGAAUCCACAUCUACUACUUCAACAGUGGUGCCUACAACUUCAGAGAGUACAACAGUAGAAACCACGACUACAGCUUCAUCAACCACUCCUACAACAACAAACAAUCCAACAAGAUCAAUAGCUGCAACUUCUGAAUCCACAACUCUCACUUCAACAACAUUGCCUACAUCUAUAGAAACAACUGCACCUGUAACAACGUCAGUAACUACAGCAUCCUCAACUACUGAAAUUCCUACAAGCACAGCUGUGAGUUCAGAAACCACAUCUGUUACUUCAACAGUGGUGCCUACAACUUCAGAGAGUACAACAGCAGAAACCACGACUACAGCUUCAUCAACCACACCUACAACAACGAGCAAUCCAACAACAUCAACAUUUGUAACUUCAGAAUCUACAACUCUAACUUCAAGAACAGUACCUACAUCUAUAGAAAAAACUGCAACUGUAACAACAUCAGUAAUUACAGCAUCCUCAACUACUGAAAUUCCCACAAGCGCAGUUCUGAGUUCAGAAGCCACAUCUAUUACUUCAACAGUGGUGCCCACAACUUCAGAGAGUACCACAGCAGAACCCACGAAUACAGCUUCAUCAACCACACUUUCAACAACAAACAAUCCAACAUCAACAGCUGUUACUUCUGAAUACACAACUAUCACUUCAACAACAGUGCCUACAACUUCAGAAAGUACAACACCAGAAACCACGACUACAGCUUCAUCAACCACUCUUACAACAACAAUCAAUCCAAUAUCAGCAGCUGUAACUUCUGAAUACACAACUAUUACUUCAACAACAGUGCCUACAUCUUCAGAAACAACUACACCUGUAACAACUUCAGUAACUACAGCAUCCUCAACUACUAAAAUUCCCACAACCACAGCUGUGAGUACAGAAACCACACCUAUUACUUCAACAGUGGUGCCCACAACUUCAGAGAGUACAACAGCAGAAACCAUGACUACAGCUUCAUCAGCGAUAUCUACGACAACAAAUAAUCCAACAUCAAAAACUGUAACUUCAGAAUCCACAACUCUCACUUCAACAACAUUGCCUACAUCUUCAGAAACAACAGCUCCUGUAACAACUUCAGUAAUGACAGCAUCCUCAACUACUGAAAUUCAGACAACCACUGCUUUGAGUACAGAAACCACACCAAUUAUUUCAACAGCGGUGCCCACUACUUCAAAGAGUACAACAGCAGAAACCAUGACUACUGUUUCAUCAACGAUAUCUACAACAACAAUCAAUCCAACAUCAAAACCUGUAACUUCAGAAUCCUCAACUCUCACUUCAACAAUAGUGCCUACAUCCUUAGAAACAACUGCACCUGUAACAAUUUUAGUAACUACAGCAUCCUCAACUGCUGAAAUUCCCACAACCACAGUUAUGAGUACAGAAACCACACCUAUUACUUCAACAGUGGUGCAUUCAACUUCAGAAAGUACAACACCAGAAACCACGACUACAGCUUCAUCAACCACACCUACAACAACAAACAUUCCAACAACAUCAACAGUUGUACCUUCAGAAUCCACAACUUUCACUUCAACAACAGUCCCUACAUCUUCAGAAACAACUGCACCUGUAACAACUUCAGUAACUAAAGCAUCCUCAACUACUGAAAUUCUCACAACCACAGUUAUGAGUACAGAAACCACACCUAUUACUUCAACAGUGGUGCCCACAACUUCAGAGAGUACAACAGCAGAAACCACAUCUACAGCUUCAUCAACCACACUUACAACAAACAAUCCAACAACAUCAACAUUUGUAACUUCAGAAUCCACAACUCUCACUUCAAAAACAGUGCCUACAUCUUCAGAAACAACUGCACCUGUAAAAACAUCAGUAACUACAGCAUCCUCAACUUCUGAAAUUCCCACAAGCACAGUUGUGAGUAAAGAAACCACACCUAUUACUUCAACAGUGGUGCCUACAACUUCAGAGAGUACAACAGCAGAAACCACGACUACAGCUUCAUCAACAAUUUCUACAACAACAAACAAUCCAACAUCAAAAGCUGUAACUUCAGCAUCCACAGCUCUCACUUCAACAACAGUCCCUACAUCUUCAGAAACAACUGCACCUGUAACAACUUCAGUAACUAAAGCAUCCUCAACUACUGAAAUUCUCACAACCACAGUUAUGAGUACAGAAACCACACCUAUUACUUCAACAGUGGUGCAUUCAACUUCAGAAAGUACAACACUAGAAACCACGACUACAGCUUCAUCAUCCACACCUGCAACAACAAACAAUCCAACAACAUCAACAGUUGUACCUUCAGAAUCCACAACUCUCACUUCAACAACAUUGCCUACAUCUUCAGAAACAACUGCACCUGUAAAAACAUCAGUAACUACAGCAUCCUUAACUUCUGAAAUUCCCACAAGCACAGUUGUGAGUAAAGAAACCACACCUAUUACUUCAACAGUGGUGCCUACAACUUCAGAGAGUACAACAGCAGAAACCACGACUACAGCUUCAUCAACAAUUUCUACAACAACAAACAAUCCAACAUCAAAAGCUGUAACUUCAGCAUCCACAGCUCUCACUUCAACAACAGUGCCUGCAUCUUCAGAAACAACUGCACCUGUAACAACUUCAGUAACUACAGCAUCCUCAACUACUGAAAUUCCUACAACCACAGUUGUGAGUACAGAAACCACACCUAUUACUUCAACAGUGGUGCAUUCAACUUCAGAAAGUACAACACUAGAAACCACGACUACAGCUUCAUCAUCCACACCUGCAACAACAAACAAUCCAACAACAUCAACAGUUAUACCUUCAGAAUCCUCAACUCUCACUUCAACAACAUUGCCUACAUCUUCAGAAACAACUGCACCUGUAACAACUUCAGUAACUAAAGCAUCCUCAACUACUGAAAUUCUCACAACCACAGUUAUGAGUACAGAAACCACAUCUACAGCUUCAUCAACCACACUUACAACAAACAAUCCAACAACAUCAACAUUUGUAACUUCAGAAUCCACAACUCUCACUUCAAAAACAGUGCCUACAUCUUCAGAAACAACUGCACCUGUAAAAACAUCAGUAACUACAGCAUCCUCAACUUCUGAAAUUCCCACAAGCACAGUUGUGAGUAAAGAAACCACACCUAUUACUUCAACAGUGGUGCCUACAACUUCAGAGAGUACAACAGCAGAAACCACGACUACAGCUUCAUCAACAAUUUCUACAACAACAAACAAUCCAACAUCAAAAGCUGUAACUUCAGCAUCCACAGCUCUCACUUCAACAACAGUGCCUGCAUCUUCAGAAACAACUGCACCUGUAACAACUUCAGUAACUACAGCAUCCUCAACUACUGAAAUUCCUACAACCACAGUUGUGAGUACAGAAACCACACCUAUUACUUCAACAGUGGUGCAUUCAACUUCAGAAAGUACAACACUAGAAACCACGACUACAGCUUCAUCAUCCACACCUGCAACAACAAACAAUCCAACAACAUCAACAGUUAUACCUUCAGAAUCCUCAACUCUCACUUCAACAACAUUGCCUACAUCUUCAGAAACAACUGCACCUGUAACAACUUCAGUAACUAAAGCAUCCUCAACUACUGAAAUUCUCACAACCACAGUUAUGAGUACAGAAACCACACCUAUUACUUCAACAGUGGUGCCCACAACUUCAGAGAGUACAACAGCAGAAACCACAUCUACAGCUUCAUCAACCACACUUACAACAAACAAUCCAACAACAUCAACAUUUGUAACUUCAGAAUCCACAACUCUCACUUCAAAAACAGUGCCUACAUCUUCAGAAACAACUGCACCUGUAAAAACAUCAGUAACUACAGCAUCCUCAACUUCAGAAAUUCCCACAAGCACAGUUGUGAGUAAAGAAACCACACCUAUUACUUCAACAGUGGUGCCUACAACUUCAGAGAGUACAACAGCAGAAACCACGACUACAGCUUCAUCAACAAUUUCUACAACAACAAACAAUCCAACAUCAAAAGCUGUAACUUCAGCAUCCACAGCUCUCACUUCAACAACAGUGCCUGCAUCUUCAGAAACAACUGCACCUGUAACAACUUCAGUAACUACAGCAUCCUCAACUACUGAAAUUCCUACAACCACAGUUGUGAGUACAGAAACCACACCUAUUACUUCAACAGUGGUGCAUUCAACUUCAGAAAGUACAACACUAGAAACCACGACUACAGCUUCAUCAUCCACACCUGCAACAACAAACAAUCCAACAACAUCAACAGUUGUACCUUCAGAAUCCACAACUCUCACUUCAACAACAUUGCCUACAUCUUCAGAAACAACUGCACCUGUAAAAACAUCAGUAACUACAGCAUCCUCAACUUCUGAAAUUCCCACAAGCACAGUUGUGAGUAAAGAAACCACACCUAUUACUUCAACAGUGGUGCCUACAACUUCAGAGAGUACAACAGCAGAAACCACGACUACAGCUUCAUCAUCCACACCUGCAACAACAAACAAUCCAACAACAUCAACAGUUAUACCUUCAGAAUCCUCAACUCUCACUUCAACAACAUUGCCUACAUCUUCAGAAACAACUGCACCUGUAACAACUUCAGUAACUAAAGCAUCCUCAACUAUCAAAAUUUCCACAACCACAGCUGUGAGUACAGAAACCACACCUAUUACUUCAACAGUGUUGCCCACAACUUUGAAGAGUACAACAGCUGAAACCAUGACUACAGCUUCAUCAACCACACCUACAAAAACGAACAAUCCAACAACAUCAACAUUUGUAACUUCUGAAUCUACAACUCCUACUUCAACAGUUAUAGCUACAUCUUCAGAAACAACUACACCUCUAACAAAAUCAGUAACUACAGCAUCCUCAACUACUGAAAUUCCCACAACCACAGUUGUGAGUACUGAAUCCAUAACUCUUACUUCAACAGCUAAGCCUACAUCUUCAGAAUCUACUGCAACUGUAACAUCAGUAACUACAGUAUCCUCAAAAACCUAUAUUCCCACAACCACGGUUGUGAGAACAGAAACCACACCUAUCAUUUCGACAGUGGUGCCUACAACUUCAGAGAGUACAACGGCAGAAGCUAUGACUACGGCUUCAUCAACUAUAUUUACAGCAAAGAACACUCCAACAACAUCAACAGCUGUAACUUCAGAAUCCUCAACUCUCACUUCAACAACAGUGCCUACAUCUUCAGAAACAACUGCACCUGUAACAACAUCAGUAACUACAGCUUCCUCACCUACAACUGUACCUUCCUCUAUGACAUCAGCUCCAAUGUCAUCUGAAGCUCCAAGUACAACAACAUCUAAAACCACAUUGCUGCUUGCAACCACAUCUACUGGAGCUCUCACAUCCACUGUUGUGACUUCAGGAGCAACAACUCUUACGUCUACAACAAUGCCUACAACAUCAGAAAGUACAACUACACCUGCAGCAAGCACAACUGCAGCUUCCACAGCCACAGUGGGGCCAUCCACUACUGUGACUACAGCUUCCGAAAUUACAACUGCAUCUUCAACAUCUACAGCUUCCUCAGCUGCGAUAGUGCAUUCUACUACUACAUCAUCAUCUCCAACCUCAUCUGAAUCUCGAGGUACAGCAACUAAUUAUCCAACAACAUCAACAGCUGUAAUUUCAACAACAAUGGCUACAUCUUCAGAAACAUCUGCACCUGUAACAACAUCAGUAACUACAGCUUCCUCAUCUAUAAAUGUACCUUCCUCUAUGACAUCAGCUCCAAUGUCAUCUGAAGCUCCAAGUGCAACAACAGCUCAAACCACAAUGCCACUUGCACCUGCAACUACUGAAACACUCACAAUCACCAAAAUGACUUCAGAAACCACAACUGCACCAACAACAUCGAUAACUACAACGUCCACAACUACCACUGUAGCUUCAACGACAACAGCAGCUUCUCUUGCAACAACCACAACUACAGCUUCCAUCACCACAACCAUUCCUUCCACUUCUACAUCAGAUCAAACCACACCUAAGGCUGCAAGUACAACAUCAAAAGGUCCGAACACAAAUUCAGAAAGUAUAACUUCACCUGCUGUAACCACAGAUUCCACAACCAUGAUGGAAUAUUCAACUACUACAUCAAGUUUAACCCCAGCCACAACUACUGAAACCUCAACUCUUACUUCACCAACAAUGUCUACAACUUCAGAAAGUACUCCUGCACCUGCAACAUCCACCAUUACAGCUUCCUCUUCUACGAAUAACUAUCCCACAACAGAAAAUCCAUCUCAAACCUCAACUUCAAUUCCAGGCACAAACACACCUACAGCGGCAACAACAACUGCAUUCCGAAUAACAACUGCACCUCUAUCAACCACAACUAUUGCUUUCACUAAUACAGCUCCAGCUCUAAGCCAAGCAGGACUCCUUACCACAACAAAUGCACCUCCAAUUAUCACAACUGUGUCUCCGGAGACUGUAACUAUUGCUGUAACAAUUAUGCCUAUCUCAUCAUCACAUGUAACUAUAUCCCCAACUUUAACUCCAAUAAAAACAACUGAACCUCCAAGAACCCCAACUACACCCAUUACAACCAUGACUGUUCUUCCCACCACUACAGUUCCAGCUGAUAUCUCAACUACAGCUCCAACCACAACAACAGCCACUAUUCCAAGUUCAACUGCAGCUCAAACAACAACUGCAUUUCAAGUAACAACAGGAGAUCUUUUAAGAACAACUGUAGCUUUUACCAACACAUCUUCUGCUCCAGCCACACUUGCACUUUCAACCAAAACAACUCCAAUCCCAAACAUGGAUUCAGAAACUACAACUGCAUCAACAACUACAACUGGAAUUAAUACAGGUCUCACCAGUGCAGCAGAAUUUCCAAUAGCUCCAAUAACAUCAGUUUCAAACACAAAUGCAUCAACAUCCCCAGCAUCUACAAUUCCAAGUCAAUCAUCAAUCAAAACAACACCAGCUGAAACUCUUUCUAGCAAUACUACACCUCUAAACAAUGCAACAAAAGCAGAUGCAUCUGCAACACUUCAAAGUACUUCAAGUUUGCAACCAGAAACUUCAAACAUACCCAAAACAUUGUCAACAAAUGUGACUGGUGCAGCAACAGUCACAACCAUAUUGGUAUUCUCAUCCUUGUCGUCAGUGCCCAAUGAAAAUUUGGUCCUAGGUGCUAUCAGUACUCUUCUGGAAUCUAGACAGUCCCAACUCAAUGGAUCACUGAAGAUUGUAAAAUUUACUUAUCAGAAAAUCUCAGAAACCUCCUAUGUCGUCAUCUUUGACUUUAGUCUGAGUAAUAUCAGCAUGCCAGAGGAACCUGAUCUAAGAAACAACAGUUAUGUUCAAGUACAAGAUGUCAUCAAUAAUGCGCUGAACACUCUUCUGAAUGAACCUGGCAGUCUAACUUUACAACCCAAGACCUCCAACUUCACGAGCAAUUCAAGUCUGAUUGAUGGCAGGAUGGAAUACAACUUCCAGGAUGGAGAUGUCAUACAACCAGUCAGCUUCCUAAAUAUGCUACAUUUACAGACCACUACAACAGUGUUUCCAGAAACAACAACUAGUAUUUCUGUUAACUCCUUCCCAAACCUCAUGUAA
ensembl:lncRNA